AGUGGCAAAGAGCAACCAAAGAACUACAUAUUUAUCAGUGAUGAAAUUGGACACACUCGAUUUUCCUCCCACUGGUAAUAUUUGCAGUCAGCAUGAAUAGACUUUCUCAGUACAGUUUUCAACUCCUGGCACAACAGUAUCCUUUUUCCAAACUAUAGCAUAAAUCACAGAAAAGUAUCUCCUCAUUUGUUUGGGAUGAGUUUUAAUUCAGAAACAAUUUAUAGUAAUAUUCUAAGAGACUGACUGAAUUUGCUUUCCCAACUGAAAAAGGAAUCAACUAUUUGUUAUUAUUUAAUGAAGCUUUGAAGCAUGAGGAAGUCAAUUAUUCUUCAGUGCAGUGAUGUACAAAGGGGACUCCUGCAUUUUCCCUGUUCCCUGAAGAGAUUAAGAACUUCUGAGUGGAGACAAACGGGAAAAAAUAUUGUUUGUGGAACCUUGCCUAGGCUUGAUGAGAAGGAGGAAAGAGCUCUUACAGCUAAAACUAAUCAGUAACUGUGGUUUCUCCAAACAUGGAAGAAUUUUCCAUCAACAGUCACAAUGGGGAGUGUCUAGUUGGACCAUCAUGGAAGAUGGAUGCACUGGAGUAAGGAAAAUGGGCAAACAGCACUUGCUUCAAGGAGAGAAGAGCAACAUGUCAGAAAGCCAAACUGAAUUAAGGAGAGAAAAUUAAAUUUCUCAUUUAACAGCUGCAACAAUAACAUACAAAUAAAUUUACUGAUCAAUAAGGGAUGUACUUUCACGGGCCUCAAGAAGGUUAGCAGGAUUAAAUGAAGCAAAAAGGAUGGAGCCCUAAUUCAAUAGGAAUGAUGUGAUUAUAAGAAGAGAAAGAGACACCAAAGCACAGAGGCAAGAUGGUGUGAGGACACAAUGGGAAGGUGGCAUCUGCAACUAAGGAGAGAAGCUUCUGGAUAAACCAAAUUUGCUGACCUCUUAACCUUGGACAUCCAGUCUCUAGAACAGUGAAAAAAUUAAUUUCUGUGGUUUAAA
ensembl:lncRNA LINC01069 long intergenic non-protein coding RNA 1069